rnacentral:rRNA from 1 species
GACGAACGCUGGCGGCGUGCUUAACACAUGCAAGUCGAGCGGUAAGGCCCUUUCGGGGGUACACGAGCGGCGAACGGGUGAGUAACACGUGGGUGACCUGCCCUUAGCUCUGGGAUAAGCCUGGGAAACUGGGUCUAAUACCGGAUAUGACUCCAUAACGCAUGUUGUGGGGUGGAAAGCCUUGUGCGGCUAGGGAUGGGCCCGCGGCCUAUCAGCUUGUUGGUGGGGUGAUGGCCUACCAAGGCGACGACGGGUAGCCGGCCUGAGGGGGCGACCGGCCACACUGGGACUGAGACACGGCCCAGACUCCUACGGGAGGCAGCAGUGGGAAUCUUGCGCAAUGGGGCGAAAGCCUGACGCAGCGACGCCGCGUGA